GGGUCAGUAGGUUGGUCGUGCCACUGGUAUGUCUGGCUUCACUGAUUCCUCCUUCCUGAUGUACCGUAAUGCCAUUAAUUUGGUGUUGCGGGGAAUCUGGACUGUUACUUGAAAAAAGAGUGAUUAAAGCAGGCUAACGCUUGAAUAUAUUAAUAAUGAAAUAGAACGUUCAAUUCUAUUUUGUUGGUUUCUAGGAUUCACGUA
rnacentral:rRNA from 1 species